rnacentral:rRNA from 1 species
AUGGCCACCUUCGAGCUGUACAGGCGGUCCACCAUCGGCAUGUGCCUCACCGAGACGCUCGACGAGAUGGUCUCCAGCGGCACCCUCAGCCCCGAGCUCGCCAUCCAAGUGCUCGUCCAGUUCGAUAAGUCUAUGACGGAGGCACUGGAAAACCAAGUGAAGAGCAAGGUUACUGUCAAGGGCCAUCUGCACACCUACAGGUUCUGCGACAACGUGUGGACAUUCAUAUUAACCGAUGCGCAGUUCAAGAACGAGGAGACCACCGAGCAGGUCGGCAAGGUGAAGAUCGUGGCCUGCGACUCCAAGCUACUCAGCCAAUAA